GACGAACGCUGGCGGCGUGCUUAACACAUGCAAGUCGAACGGCAAGGCCCUGCUUUUGUGGGGUGCUCGAGUGGCGAACGGGUGAGUAACACGUGAGUAACCUGCCCUUGACUUUGGGAUAACUUCAGGAAACUGGGGCUAAUACCGGAUAGGAGCUCCUGCUGCAUGGUGGGGGUUGGAAAGUUUCGGCGGUUGGGGAUGGACUCGCGGCUUAUCAGCUUGUUGGUGGGGUAGUGGCUUACCAAGGCUUUGACGGGUAGCCGGCCUGAGAGGGUGACCGGCCACAUUGGGACUGAGAGACGGACCAGACGCCUACUGGAGGCAGCAGUGGGGAAUAUUGCACAAUGGGCGGAAGCCUGAUGCAGCAACGCCGCGUGCGGGAUGACGGCCUUCGGGUGGUAAACCGCUUUCGCCUGUGACGAAGCGGGAGUGACGGUAAUGGGUAAAGAAGCAGCGGCUAACUACGUG
rnacentral:rRNA from 1 species